CCUACGGGGGGCAGCAGUGGGGAAUAUUGGGCAAUGGGCGCAACCCUGACCCAGCAACGCCGCGUGAGGGAAGAAGGCUUUCGGGUUGUAAACUUCUGUUCUCAGGGAAGAAGGAGAUGACGGUACAUCAGGAAUAACCCACGGCUAACUACGUGCCAGCAGCCGCGGUAAUACGUAGGUGGCAAUCGUUAUCCGGAUUUAUUGGGUGUAAAGGGCGUGUAGGCGGGAAAGCAAGUCAGAUGUGAAAACCCAGGGCUCAACCAGGGGCCUGCAUUGGAAACUGUUUUGCUGGAGUGCUGGAGAGGCAAACGGAAUUCCGAGUGUAGCGGUGAAAUGCGUAGAUAUAAGGAGGAACACCAGUGGCGAAGGCGGAUUGCUGGACAGUAACUGACGCUGAGGCGCGAAAGCGUGGGGAGCAAACAGGAUUAGAUACCCGAGUAGUC
rnacentral:rRNA from 1 species